rnacentral:rRNA from 1 species
GAUGAACGCUGGCGGCGUGCCUAAUACAUGCAAGUCGAGCGAACGGACGAGAAGCUUGCUUCUCUGAUGUUAGCGGCGGACGGGUGAGUAACACGUGUAUAACCUACCUAUAAGACUGGGAUAACUUCGGGAAACCGGAGCUAAUACCGGAUAAUAUUUUGAACCGCAUGGUUCAAAAGUGAAAGACGGUCUUGCUGUCACUUAUAGAUGGAUCCGCGCUGCAUUAGCUAGUUGGUAAGGUAACGGCUUACCAAGGCAACGAUGCAUAGCCGACGUGAGAGGGUGAUAGGCCACACUGGAACUGAGACACGGUCCAGACUCCUACGGGAGGCAGCAGUAGGGAAUCUUCCGCAAUGGGCGAAAGCCUGACGGAGCAACGCCGCGUGAGUGAUGACGGUCUUCGGAUCGUAAAACUCUGUUAUUAGGGAAGAACAUAUGUGUAAGUAACUGUGCACAUCUUGACGGUACCUAAUCAGAAAGCCACGGCUAACUACGUG